rnacentral:misc_RNA from 1 species
UGCAAUUGUAAUGGCCCCAAGAGACAGUUCAAGAACUCAUGGAAUAUUCCGAUUGACAAAUCCGGGUGGAAUGACAGUUAUACGACAAUGUCCAAGGCGUGGUUUUCAUCCGCAUGACCCUCCUCCUGAUGGUAGCCCAAUUUACAAGCAUUGUACAGAUGUCUAUAUGGAUUCUAACUUGAAGUUUGAUGUCAUUGAUCUGCGAUGACUUCGAUCAUCGAUUAAUGAUUUGAAAAUACAUCUUUUUUCCGUGGUGCUUGUUUAUUGAUUAAUGUUGGUUGGUCUACGAGAUUCAAUACACAAUCAGUGAAUACUCAAUUUGAUAGUUGUUAUCAGAUAACUCUUACCUUUGAAGCUGCAGCUUGCGUGCAGGUAAAGGUUGUAAAAGGUUCAUACCUGGCAUUCUUGCAGAUAUAAAUAGAACUGCAUCUUUGAAGACGUAUAAUUAGAACAAUUUGUGUAAAUAGAAAUUCUUUUUCAGGCAUCUUCGUGUGUAAACUUGCAAAAGGUCAAAACUAUUGACG